rnacentral:rRNA from 1 species
GUAUAGUUAAGUGACUAAGCGUACAAGGUGGAUGCCUUGGCAAUCAGAGGCGAUGAAGGACGUGCUAAUCUGCGAAAAGCUUGGAUGAGUCGAUAAGAGGCGUUUAAUCCAAGAUGUCCGAAUGGGGAAACCCAGUAGAUGAAGAAUCUACUAUCACUUACUGAAUACAUAGGUAAGUGAGGCAAACCGGGAGAACUGAAACAUCUAAGUACCUGCAGGAAGAGAAAGAAAAAUCGAUUUCCUGAGUAGCGGCGAGCGAAACGGGAGGAGCCCAAACCAACGAGCUUGCUUGUUGGGGUUGUAGGACUAGAACGUGAGAAGAAAUCAAGAUAGCAGAAGUGGUCUGGAAAGGCCCAUCAAAGAAGGUGACAAUCCUGUACGCGACAUCUUGAUGAACUCUACUAGCAUCCUGAGUACGGCGGGACACGAGGAAUCCCGUCGGAAUCCGCCAGGACCAUCUGGCAAGGCUAAAUACUACCUAGUGACCGAUAGUGAACCAGUACCGUGAGGGAAAGGUGAAAAGAACCCCGGGAGGGGAGUGAAAGAGUACCUGAAACCGUGUGCUUACAAGUAGUCAGAGCCCGUUAAUGGGUGAUGGCGUGCCUUUUGUAGAAUGAACCGGCGAGUUACGUUUACAUGCGAGGUUAAGAUGAAGAGUCGGAGCCGUAGCGAAAGCGAGUCUGAAUAGGGCGCAUGUAGUAUGUGGACGUAGACCCUAAACCAAGUGAUCUACCCAUGUCCAGGUUGAAGGUGCGGUAAAACGCACUGGAGGACCGAACCAGGGCACGUUGAAAAGUGCUUGGAUGACUUGUGGGUAGC